rnacentral:rRNA from 1 species
CAAUAGCGUAUAUUUAAGUUGUUGCAGUUAAAAAGCUCGUAGUUGGAUUUCGGAUGGGAUUUGCCGGUCCGUCGUUACGAUGUGCACUGGCCAGUCCUAUCUUGUUGUCGGGGACUAGCUCCUUGGAUUCACUUCCUGGGACUAGGAGCUGACGAGGUUACUUUGAGUAAAUUAGAGUGUUCAAAGCAAGCCUACGCUCUGAAUACAUUAGCAUGGAAUAACACGAUAGGACUCUGGCUUAUCUUGUUGGUCUGUGAGACCAGAGUAAUGAUUAAGAGGGACAGUCGGGGACAUUCGUAUUUCAUUGUCAGAGGUGAAAUUCUUGGAUUUAUGAAAGGCGAACUUCUGCGAAAGCAUUUGUCAAGGAUGUUUNCAUUAA